GUGCCUUCCGGCCCUGACACAGGGGACACAGGGGGUGCAUCCUUAUCCCCAGCUCACAGCUAGGCUGUUAGAAUCCAAAAACCCUUCAGAGCAAGGAGGAAUCUCCAAGACCACCUAGCAGACAUUUCUCAUUUUACAGCUGGGAGAGUCAGGGCUCUGGGAUGGCACUGGCCUCAUUGGAGGGCGCGCCACAGGUACAGGUGGGUUCAGCCAUUAGCUCCACUUUCGAGAUGAGGAAACUGAGGCAGAACAAAGGAAACCACUGGCCUCCAGACGCAGCCUGUGAGAGGUGCCCUGGGAGACUGGAAGGCAGGCAGCUGGACUUCAGCGCAAGAGUUUCUAACCGCUGUGCUAGUGGGGAUCGCUGUCCCCUCUGACCCCUCCAGGGGCAGAGGGCUGCUGCGCAAAUGGGGGCAAAGCAGGUGCCUUU